UACGUAGGGUGCAAGCGUUAAUCGGAAUUACUGGGCGUAAAGCGUGCGCAGGCGGUCUUGCAAGUCAGAUGUGAAAUCCCCGGGCUCAACCUGGGAACUGCAUUUGUGACUGCAAGGCUGGAGUACGGUAGAGGGGGAUGGAAUUCCGCGUGUAGCAGUGAAAUGCGUAGAUAUCGAGUGGAACACCGGUGGCGAAGGCGGCUUUCUGGACAGGUACUGACGCUGAGACGCGAAAGCGUGGGGAGCAAACAGG
rnacentral:rRNA from 1 species